CGGAAGGCCUUGAUAUGUGUCACACAGGGUGACAUGCUACACCGGUCACACGGAAGGCCUUGAUAUGUGUCACACAGGGUAACAUGCUACACAGGUUAUCACACGGAAGCCUUUAUAUGUGUCACACAGGUUAACAUACUACAUUGGUUGUCACACGGAAUGCCUUGAUAUAUGUCACACAGGGUAACAUGCUACACUGGUUGUUACACGGAAGGCCUUGAGACUCGAUAUGUCACACAUACAGAUAUGCAUAUAUCUUUCUCAUCAAACGUUACAUAUCAGGUCACAUAUCAGGUCGACACAGGGGGUGUCAAAUUGUCACAUGUCGCACCCCACUCUCACAUGUGACGUUUAUCAUGAAAGUCUGGUGGUAAAG